rnacentral:lncRNA from 1 species
GGAAAGUAUUUCCCGUAAGCGUCAAACAUUCUUAUGAAUCAAUGACUCUAGGGAUCCUUUGUAACAAAGCCCUAGAUCAUACCCGGUGAGAACCCCGUUUUGGAAAGCAAUCAAAUUUAUCCAUACCUCGGACCUUUGAACCUGUACCCAAAAAAAAACAUUGCAUCCAUCCAUUCAUUGCAUACGCAUAAAAAGAAAAACUCUUAGUUUGAAUCAAGAGUUCUGAAAACAAGAUGCAUCCAUACAUGCAUUCAUACAUUUUCAACACCAGUAUAAUACUCGCGCCAGAGCAAGACAGAGAAUGGCUGAACAAGAACAAGAGAGCGCCCGAGUUAGAGCUGAACUAGA